UGCCUUUCAACUGCGCCGAUGGAACGCUGUCUUGGUUUGGUGUGCUUAGCAAAACCGCUCAGCUAUGCUGGUGGUGCAUAGCUGUUGUGGCAUCGUCUCGGCCUUGCAUGUCCUUUCAAAUGUACCCCAUGGCACACGCGGCGUCGUGGCAUUGUGCAUUCUUGGUGUGUGAUGUCUUUCGAUUGCAUCGACGAUGCAGUGUCAUGGCAUGGUCUUGGCUGGUCAAUGUCGUUCGAUUACACUCGUCGUGCUUUUUCUUUAUUCUAUGGUGUUUCCUUCUUUGUUUCUUCAUGCUACGUGUAUUAUUGGUGUGUGUGUUGUUUUUGCAUUAUAUCUACUUCUCCUGUGCCCCAUGUACUUCUGGUUCGCUUGAACCCAUCUUGCAACAGGCUGCAAAGGAGGCAAAUGAAUACAAUUCGGGUGGGGAAUAUCUUCCCCCAUGGUGAAAAUUCAAAAAAAA
rnacentral:lncRNA from 1 species